UGGCGCACGGGUGCGUAACGCGUGGGAACCUGCCUUUAGGUUCGGAAUAACUCCCCGAAAGGGGUGCUAAUACCGGAUAAUGUCUUCGGACCAAAGAUUUAUCGCCUUUAGAUGGGCCCGCGUUGGAUUAGCUAGUUGGUGGGGUAAAGGCUCACCAAGGCGACGAUCCAUAGCUGGUCUGAGAGGAUGAUCAGCCACACUGGGACUGAGACACGGCCCAGACUCCUACGGGAGGCAGCAGUGGGGAAUAUUGGACAAUGGGCGAAAGCCUGAUCCAGCAAUGCCGCGUGAGUGAUGAAGGCCUUAGGGUUGUAAAGCUCUUUUACCCGGGAUGAUAAUGACAGUACCGGGAGAAUAAGCUCCGGCUAACUCCGUGCCAGCAGCCGCGGUAAUACGGAGGGAGCUAGCGUUGUUCGGAAUUACUGGGCGUAAAGCGCGCGUAGGCGGCUUAUCAAGUCAGGGGUGAAAUCCCGGGGCUCAACCCCGGAACUGCCCUUGAAACUGGUUGGCUAGAAUCCUGGAGAGGCGAGUGGAAUUCCGAGUGUA
rnacentral:rRNA from 1 species